rnacentral:lncRNA from 1 species
AGAAAGGAAGAAAGGAAGAAAGGAAGAAAGGAAGAAAGGAAGAAGAAAGGAAGACAGACAAGACAGGUGCCAAUAACAACAAUGAGAGGAGUCCAUGUGGAUAUUGAUAAUUUGCUGCAAAUCACAGUGAUCACGUCCAGCCUCAUUCCUAAGGCUCCCACAUGCCCAUUCAGGAACCCCUUCUCCAGCUGGGCCUAAGCGAUGUGUCGGUCAGGCAUGGUACUGUAGCAGCAUAGAGCAGCCCAACAUGGUCUCUUGCUAGAGGAAACUGCCUCUUUAGCGUGUUCCCAGGACAGAUGGCCAUUUUCCAAUUUACCAGUUUUAUGUUCACAAUUUACUUUUUUUAUGAGCGCUUUACUCCGAAAUGAGCAAGAAUCGUGUGGUCACAUUACUUUUAUAGCCAAGAAUAUUGGAAGACUGCAACAAAACCUCCAUGGCCUCUGCCCACCUCCUCCCUGCCGAGUUUUUGGCAGCAUGCACAGAAUGCUGCAUGUCAGAAUGGAGUGUGUCAGAGCUGGGUCCGGGCUGUCUGAGCACUUCCUGCCUUUGUUUUCAACAAGCCACUUAGGUAUGGACUCUGUCCUCUGCAUGUCUUUCUGAGGCUUAAGUUCACAGUGGCUACUACCAAUGCUUCUGUGUUCAUGGUCAGGCUUCUACAGAAUAGAAAGAGUGCCAGUGUUGGC